rnacentral:rRNA from 1 species
UACGGGGGGAGCAAGCGUUGUUCGGAUUUACUGGGCGUAAAGGGCGCGUAGGCGGCCAGCGCAAGUCAGUUGUGAAAUCUCCGGGCUUAACUCGGAACGGUCAACUGAUACUGCGCGGCUAGAGUGCGGAAGGGGCAACUGGAAUUCUCGGUGUAGCGGUGAAAUGCGUAGAUAUCGAGAGGAAUACCUGCGGCGAAGGCGGGUUGCUGGGCCGACACUGACGCUGAUGCGCGAAAGCCAGGGGAGCGAACGGG